rnacentral:misc_RNA from 1 species
UUGAAUUUUAAUGAAGAGUCUGGUUGUAGCUGGCCCAUUCAUUUGGGCAUGUGCACACCUUCCUCUUUCAUCCCACACACACCUGUGAACCUGUGAGACAGAGAUGGGGAAUUUACUUGCUGCUUUUUGGAAUACAAAGGCAAUAGGUUAUUGGACCCCCCCUCUGUCUACUCAAUUAAUAUAAACUCAAUUUAUUUUAAAACGAAUGUAAUGGAUGUAACACAUCUCAUAC